rnacentral:rRNA from 1 species
UACGGAGGGGGCUAGCGUUGUUCGGAAUUACUGGGCGUAAAGCGCACGUAGGCGGCUUUGUAAGUUAGAGGUGAAAGCCCAGGGCUUAACCCUGGAAUUGCCUUUAAGACUGCAUCGCUAGAAUCGUGGAGAGGUGAGUGGAAUUCCGAGUGUAGAGGUGAAAUUCGUAGAUAUUCGGAAGAACACCAGUGGCGAAGGCGACUCACUGGACACGGUAUUGACGCUGAGGUGCGAAAGCGUGGGGAGCAAAGCAGG